UUUUUUUCCUUUCAAGAAGAAUACUACUUCCUCCAUGAGAAAGUAGGUACCUUUGUUGGUCCACAUACCAAGGGACAACUGAUCCGUUGCCAUUAUCUUUAAAAUUUAGACUUAUCUUGGUUCAAACUUAUCUUAGAUCUCAACACACAUAUGUGAUAAGCAGUGUUAAAUAAGGAUUUCUGUGGUAGCGAUGGAAGUAUAUUUUAA
rnacentral:lncRNA from 1 species